AUGAGUUUCUUUUUUAAAGAUGUCGUCUUUUUGAGCUCUUUGUUUUUCCCGAAGCACUUUGUGAAGUUUCCCGCUCUGCAGUGUUCUUCUUGCUGCUCCAUCUGUUCCUGCUUCCAGAGAUUUUUUUUUUUUUUAAUCUCCUCAGGAAAUUCAAUGGAACAAGAUUUUCCACAGAGAAAGGACAAUGCUAAAGUGCCUCCGUUUGGGAGACCCAAGAUGAACCCUGCUUGGAGCGGACAUCGGGACACGAUCGGAUACCGAGAGCAAUCUACACUUUCAAAUACAGGCAAUAUGUUAAUAAGCCUCGGAACAUCAAUGAGCCAGGAUGGCACACGGGAACCACCUGAGCACUGACUGUCAUUUAUGAGCGAUAAUGGAAGCAUUAAAGGCCUAUGCAACAGCAAGGGAAGCAGUGUAAGCAUAAAAUUGUGCCUGUUUUAUGAUCAUAACUAUGCAUAAUUAUAUGUACAUAUGUUCAAGGAGCAGCAUGGGUCAUAAAUGGAGACCCCUGAGUGUCACAUGGCCUGUGGUGAGUCCAUUUUAUUGUCUUCCACACGUUGAAAAAACAAGAAUGGGGACAAAAAAAAACGGUAGUGUUAUGAUGUUAUUGUCUGUGGGUAAUACAUGAUUCCCCUGAGAGGUCAUAUCUUGGUAUUUUUUUAAAAAAAUAUUUAUGGGUAUUUUGGCUGCACAUAUGUCUGUGUGCCAUGUUGCAUGCUGUGCCUUCAGAAGCCAGAAGAUGAGACUGAAUCCCCAGGGACUGAAGUUGCAGGAGGUUGUGAGGCUCCAAGUAGGUGCUGGGACCUAAACCCAGCUCUUCUGGAAGAGCAGCAGCCAAUGUAGGCCCAGCCAACUCUUCAGUCCCCUCCCUGCCCCAAUAUUUGACUUUGAGAGUUGGAAGAGACUUUCCUAGGCUCAUGGCACAGCUUUCUGGUUGUCCAAGCAACACUGUGAGGCAGGAAAGGACUGGGUUGCUCAAUGGCACAUAUCUAAUCAGCAGCUAGAACUUACAGUUCUAAAACCCUUCCCAGCGUCCUCAGGCUUUUCUUGUGGGGAAGUUAAGUUGUUUGGCGGGCCCCAUCUUGAAAUACUUUGUAUGAGUGAAAACUUAUCCACCACCUGGAGGAAACUUUAAAACAAGAGUACUGUCUUACUCACAUCUAGACAGGACACAUUGUGUGUAUUUUUGGCACUUCGAAAACUGUCAAAAUAUUUAUAAGGAAGAUGACAAUAGCAAUGAGGAAGCCGCCAGUCAUUUUCUCGUGACAAAAGAGGAGAAACUCAAUUAAGAUUUGAUACAUUAAUUAAAUUUCAUCUUUAAACACUUGUCUUAGUCAGGGUUUCUAUUCCUGCA
rnacentral:lncRNA from 1 species